ACUAGCAGCCAUAUCUCCCUGCAGCCCCACUGGAGCUCAGCAGGUGUGAGCCUGGCCAGUACCUGGAUGGGAGACCUCCUGGGAAAAGCUAAGGUUGCUGCUGGAA
rnacentral:rRNA from 1 species